GCUAACACUAUGAGAUGGCUUUGCGGUGCAUUAGCUAGUUGGUGGGGUAAAGGCCUACCAAGGCGACGAUGCAUAGCCGACCUGAGAGGGUGAUCGGCCACACUGGGACUGAGACACGGCCCAGACUCCUACGGGAGGCAGCAGUAGGGAAUCUUCCGCAAUGGGCGAAAGCCUGACGGAGCAACGCCGCGUGAGUGAAGAAGGAUUUCGGUUCGUAAAGCUCUGUUGUUAGGGAAGAAUGAUUGUAUAGUAACUAUAUACAGUAGAGACGGUACCUAACCAGAAAGCCACGGCUAACUACGUGCCAGCAGCCGCGGUAAUACGUAGGUGGCAAGCGUUGUCCGGAAUUAUUGGGCGUAAAGCGCGCGCAGGUGGUUUAAUAAGUCUGAUGUGAAAGCCCACGGCUCAACCGUGGAGGGUCAUUGGAAACUGUUAAACUUGAGUGCAGGAGAGAAAAGUGGAAUUCCUAGUGUAGCGGUGAAAUGCGUAGAGAUUAGGAGGAACACCAGUGGCGAAGGCGGCUUUUUGGCCUGUAACUGACACUGAGGCGCGAAGAACCUUACCAAGUCUUGACAUACUGUGAGGACACAAGAGAUUGUGUUGUUCUGACCUUUGGUUAGACACAGAUACAGGUGGUGCAUGGUUGUCGUCAGCUCGUGUCGUGAGAUGUUGGGUUAAGUCCCGCAACGAGCGCAACCCUUAUAUCUAGUUGCCAGCAGUAAGAUGGGGACUCUAGAUAGACUGCCAGUGAUAAACUGGAGGAAGGUGGGGAUGACGUCAAAUCAUCAUGCCCCUUAUGACUUGGGCUACACACGUGCUACAAUGGAUAGGAACAAAGAGAAGCGAGCUCGCGAGAGUAAGCAAACCUCACAAAACUAUUCUCAGUUCGGAUUGUAGUCUGCAACUCGACUACAUGAAGCUGGAAUCGCUAGUAAUCGCGAAUCAGAAUGUCGCGGUGAAUACGUUCCCGGGUCUUGUACACACCGCCCGUCACACCACGAGAGUUUGUAACACCCGAAGACGGUGGCCUAACCUUUAAGGAGGGAGCCGGUCACGGUGGGACAGAUGAUUGGGGUGAAGUCGUAACAAGGUAGCCGUAUCGGAAGGUGCGGCUG
rnacentral:rRNA from 1 species